rnacentral:rRNA from 1 species
UACAGAGGGCGCGAGCGUUGUCCGGAAUCACUGGGCGUAAAGGGCGCGUAGGUGGCGGCAUAAGGCUGUGGUGAAAGUCUGGGGCUCAACUCCAGAUCGGCCGCGGCGACUGUGUCGCUUGGGCACCGUAGAGGCAGAUGGAAUUCCGGGUGUAGCGGUGGAAUGCGUAGAUAUCGGAAGGAACAUCAGUGGCGAAGGCGACUUCCUGGACCAAUACUGACGCUCAGGUGCGAAAGCGUGGGGAGCAAACAGG